GCCUCGAUGGUUCCAGACGGCGAACAAACGGGGUGGGGAAAAGGACCCACCGCUCCUCCCUCAGUAUGCGCCUGUCGUCCAUUGCUCCUAGACGCAUCGCGGCGUGGAUCGGCUUUCUCUGUGCUCCGCCUCGCCAGCCUCGUACCCCGUAGCCCCGACUCCCCAUCCGCCACCUCCACCUCAUGGGCCACCGGGUCCACCCUCGCUUUCCAGCUUGGCAACAUCUUUGACCGUGGUGUCGACGAGCUCCGCCUCCUGCACCCCCUCCGCCUCCUCGUCCCUUCUGCUGAGGCCCGCGUCGGCGCAUUCCUGCCGUAGUCGGCAACCAAUAGGAGCGUAAAACUGGAGCUAGGGAUUGCAGAUGUUGUAGGUACAUGUUAUACAUGAAUGGACAUGAGCAGGCACUCCCACUGAGGGCGCUUCUUGGCUUCGUCUGCAGAGGCUUGCUGAUAAUUGGCAUAGGAUAUUGUUAACUCCAGUGACUGGUGGAGUAGUUGUGGGUAUGAUGCAUGAAUUAUUUGAGAUCUUUGAGUAGAUAAAGCAAUCAUUAUCAUCUCAAAGGGAGGGUUUGAUUUCA